UACGUAGGGGGCAAGCGUUAUCCGGAUUUACUGGGUGUAAAGGGAGUGUAGGUGGCCAGAUAAGUCAGAUGUGAAAGCCCAGGGCUCAACCCUGGGACUGCAUUUGAAACUAUCCGGCUAGAGUGCAGGAGAGGUAAGUGGAAUUCCUAGUGUAGCGGUGAAAUGCGUAGAUAUUAGGAGGAACACCAGUGGCGAAGGCGGCUUACUGGACUGUAACUGACACUGAGGCUCGAAAGCGUGGGGAGCAAACAGG
rnacentral:rRNA from 1 species